UCAUCAACAACCUUGUCACACAUUUUUAAUACAAUUUCAGAUGCACCUUUGCAAAAUGCCCGAAAUCCCCCUUCAGGAAGAGCCACAAGCAGAGACAUCUUUUUCCUGACUGAACUGAAAGGCUCAACCUUAAGUAUCUGAAACUCUUUGCGCUGUGCAUCAAAAUCACCACCUAAAAGCAAGCCAAAUUCUAAUAGUGCUUUUUCUGUUGGUGUUCCCAAAAUUUUCAUCUGUCCAUCUUCAUCCUUACUUAUUUCACAACCUGUAUUUUGAAAUAUAACCUGCAAAAGGAAGCUCAAGGCACAUUCAGAUAUUUCCAAUCCCAAAAUGCCUUCACUGUUAUUGUUGUUAAUAGCUUUAGCUUUUCCACAUAUCCAUAUUUUAUCAACUACCAUGUGGUUAGUGGUUAAGGUCCCUGUUUUAUCCGUGCAAAUACAACUAGCAGAACCCAUUGUCUCACAUGCAGAGAGGUGCCUAACUAGCGCCCUGUCAUGCAUCAAUUUUUUCAUUGCAAAUGCAAGACUCAAAGUCACUGCCAAUGGUAAUCCUUCAGGAACAGCAACAACAAUUAUGGUUACUGCAAUAGCAAAGUAGUCCAGAAGUGUGAAUGCAUCAU
rnacentral:misc_RNA from 1 species